rnacentral:tRNA from 1 species
GCUAAGGUAGUAGAAGAUUAAUAUACUAGGCUUAGGACUUAUGUGGUGGAAGAACUUUCCCUUUAGCA